rnacentral:lncRNA from 1 species
ACAUUCAGAUUGCAACCAGCAGUUCCAUUGUUGCUACCACGAGAAACACUUCGAAAAUGCUGCAUAGGUGGGUACCAAGUACCUGCCAAUACCUUGGUGUAUGUGAAUGCAUGGGCAAUAGGAAGAGACCCUGAAGCUUGGAGAAACCCUGAAGAAUUUUGUCCUGAAAGGUUCAUUGGCAGCUCUAUUGACUACAAGGGGCUAAACUUUGAGCUCAUACCGUUUGGUGCGGGUAGAAGGGUUUGCCCUGGAAUGAAUAUGGCAGUUGCAGCAGUGGAGCUUGCUCUUGCUAAUCUUCUUUACAAGUUUGAUUGGGAAAUGCCGACCAAAAUGAACAAGGCAAACUUAAACUUUGAUGCCAC